AAACAUAUGUUGUAUAAGCAUAUGGUGCGAAAAGUGAAGUGCAUUAAUUGCAAAAUUGCAACUGGAAAGUAUAGUUUCUAAUAAGAAUACUAAUAAAAGCAUUAAUAAUUGAAUAUUAAUUAAUUCAUUGUUUUUACAAAUUGCAGCAGCUUACUACCAAGUACUAGAGAGUAUGUGCACUACAAGGCAGAGAUGUGUGUGAAAGCAAGCUAACUGCAAGUAUAUCAUCCAGUGGUACAAGAAGAAGUAGCUGAGAAGACUCCGCGUCCCAAACAUCGAGUAGUGCCGCUAGUUUAGUUAAGUGCGUUUGUGUUGAUAUUAGUCAGUGCACUGUAGUAUUUGUUUACUGCAUGUAUGCCUAUACAUGCAAAAUAAAACUUUAAUUGAAUAUAAAUAUCCAAUUUGAGUUUUAUUUGCUAGAAUACCCUUUAUAGGAUAUGUGCAGUCGAUCCAAUUUACAGUGUAUAUGCUGCAAUCAGUUGCUUGGAGACGACCCGCUUUGCUCAGCCGGAGGGUUGUCUGGAUUUGUGUUGUGUGUGCGCAAAGUGCCUGUA